GGAUUUUCUUUUUCUGUUUAAGUAAAGUUUUAAAAUUGUCUUUUCGUGCAGGCGUGGAGACUCUUCUCAUAUGAAAAGUGACUACUCAAUUACUACGUAUUGUGUGGUACGGAGAGAAUUUUAUUUUUUUAUUUUUUUAUUGUGUAGUACAUUGUUUUUGUUGUUUCUGUGUGUUGGUUGUGAAAAAUAAAAUAAAAAAAAAGGUGUGUCAAUUCGAGAUCUCUUGAGGCUACCCAAAAAAAAUAUAAAAAAAGGUGUGUAUAUAAGGAACCGUACACUACUAUUAUAAUUAUGGAUAAGCACUGAUGAGACAUUUCAGGAUUUCAGUACAGCACUCUGCAGUCUGCACUUAUGGCAUCUCGAAUGGGGUACUAAAUUUUUGCUAUUUAAAUUUUAAUUCUCUAAUUUUGUGAGGGUAUCAUUUGAAGUGUGUGUCAAAUUCGAGGCUGUUCAAAUUUUAAUGAGCAAAGCACUGCAACUGUAAGCUUUCGAUUUUCUCAAAAAAAAAAAAAAAAUUGGGUUUUAGUCUGGAAGUUGCCCAAAUUAUAGAACUGGACCGUUGGGAGAAAAGUAAAACACACAGGUGAGAGCACUGUUGGGCUCUUUAAAACCCUCCCCACUGGUAAUCUAUCAAAAGCUGAUUCACCUCGAGUCUCUCUCUUCAAAAGCCUGUGCAGCUGGAACAGACCCUCAAGUCUCUCUCUUCUCUCUCUCUAAAACCCUCCCCAUCUGGUCCGACCCCGCCGACGCCUCCUCCUUCCUCGCGCGGUCGACGAAUUGCUCACCGCCAUUCGUGGAUGCUGAGAAGCCCGUCGCCGCCUGUCUCGACCGCGCUGACGAUCUGCUCCAGCAGUCUAUGUUUCGGCUUGAGGACGAGUUCAGAUCGUUGAUGGAGUGAGGCGGCGAGUCGUUUGAUGUGACUCGGUUGAUCAAAACGUCGACGUCGUCGUCCGGAUCCUCUUUCCGAGCGAACGACGGCUCUACGACGACAGUGGCUUUCUCUCCGGGUUGACUCGCCAGUUGGCUCAUUCCACCCUGCAACAAACCCAGAACACCAAGAAAACAUGGGUUUGCCCUGGUUCGCCGCAAUCGAUACUAACCGGAAUCGAAAGCUGGUCCGUUCGAAACGCAGUCUCUGGCAACGGAAGCCCAAACAGUCCUCCUCAGGUCUCGUCACCGCCGACGACGCCUUUCACUGCUUAUUGAACCUUGGGAUCUGAUAUACGAAGUUGCUGGACAGUUCGCGAGCUUGAAGACGAACGGUAAAGGACCACCCAAUGCCAAAGGACUCUUCGGCGACCCACGAGCUCUGAUUCCCACAACUGGGUUUCUACUCGAAUCACUCUCUCACUCCAAAUUUCUCAGAGGCCAGUCAUCUGGAACGGGGGGUUACAUUGCCUGGAGUCUUUUGUCAUAGCCAACUUUCCAAUAAAGAAGUACAGUGCUCAGUAAGUUUAUUUUCAUACUUGUUGAGUCCCUUAGUGUACUUCUUGUAGCUCUUGAGUAUAUGUGUGCGUCUAGAUUGAUCAAUUGUUGUUGUUGUGUCAUGGAUUACCCUUGAUGUGGAUAUUUGCAUGCAGACCCGUGUAAUUAUUGUGCAAUCAUAUUCUUACUACAGUGAGGCAAACAACAUGGGCAAGAUAUUGUUUUGCAACAAAACAAGCAGAAUAUGUUGCCGUUCCAUAUUUCUUUGUGUUUAAGCCACAAGAUUUUAAAGGACCGAAGAGAGAGAGAGAGAGAAAGCAUGUUAAACUAAGAUGAGGUGGCUCACUUAAUUUUAUAGCUGAUGCAACUGUAUUUGUUAAGGUACAGAAGGGGGAGAGUGCGUCCAUGAUAAAAAUUUGUGCCUAGUAGCGUAUGGUAAUGCAAGAAAAUUGUAUAGCAUAAAUGACAAAAUGCUCCCACUAUUGCAAAAAUUGAAUUAUUUUAUAGUAUAUUUAGCGUUAAAAAAAUGAAAACUCAUUAUAAUAUUUAUAAUUUUCCAGCCAAGGUUAGGUCUAGGUUCAUUUGUAAGCCCUUUGAGACAAGUUCUAAAGCAUUGUUUUUCGAAUGAGACACGUUUUUGUAUUUAAAAUGAAUAAGUUCACUUUAGAACUGAUCUUAAAUGCGGUAUAGUGUCAUAAAGGUCAACCAAAUUUAGUUUUUCUAGUUUAGUCUUAGGUUUACAAAGUCAAACUUACCCUUCCGUGGCAUGUGUGAAUCAAGUCGAUCAAGAUUGUUAAGUUCUGGUCACCUUGGGGAAAAAAAAAUCAGGUCACCUUGCAAUCGUCAUGCGGUCUGCAAUCAUGACCAUAAAAUACGUAUUCAAUCACAAAUUAGUGGACAUAUCAAUUUGACUCACUAACUUGACCGGUCACAGCACAUACACUGAUCAUUGAAAUUGACAAACACAAUUACCUUAGGUCCUAACGGUUUGGCAUGAAGUACUAUGCUAUUGUUAAACGAUAGGUGGCUGCAUGUUUAGUGUUUAGUAUCCUACUUUCUCACUGAUUGGUUGUGGACUUAGGAAUCAUACAACACCUUAUUAUGGCUGUAGUAGACAUUUGUUUUUUUCUCUCUGUUUGAGUUGUUUAAUUCAAUAGAAGAGUAUCCAAGUUCAUUUUCUUAAUAUUGUAACACAAUAUGAAGUUGUCCAAACACCUAACAAAUUAAAACCCAAGUAACAGUAAACCCAAUAAAUAAAUAACUCAUUAUUUUUAUAUGAUGUUAUGGAUGAAUAUUACUAUUAUAUAUUGAAUGAGGUAUUAAAUUGAAGUUCUAGUACAUUGUGUUUAUUUGUUGUGUAUUAUAAUAAGGUAUAUUUUGGGAUAUA